GAAAUAACUGAAAUGAGCAGGUUUAAGGAUUGCUGGUUUCCGUUUCAGUCUUUGUCAACUAGAUCAUGAGUCUUUCGACGGCAGGUACUGCUGUGUGUCUUCUGCCUGGGUGCCUGGAGUGGGGUGGUGUAAUAACUGAAUAAGCGCUGACGCUGCGCCGCGGGCCUGCCUCACUGCUUUCCUAGACGCGCUUGUGUGCAGCCAGGCAGGCGUUUUGAAGACUGUCCUUCGCUGCUGCUGUAGGACCACGCGUUUUCUGCGGCUGGAUGCUGGCGUCUCCCAGGAUCAGCUGCAUGAUGUAAAGAAACAGAAGAGAAGAAUCAGAGGCAGAAGGACAGAUGUCUGUCGUGCGUUUGUCUCAGCAACUCACACAGCACUUCUGAGGCUAAACUCGGGCUUUCUGGCACGUGACCUAACCUGAUACCAUGCUCCUUGAGCUGACCUGAAAGUCACCAUCAAGAGCCGAAUAGGCUGGUUUCCCAUGAGAAUGCUGCCCCUUCCACAAGCCCACCUCCUCAGAGCUGCAGGCAUUUUCAGGCCUCAUUAAGCCUCCUCAUGGAGUAAGUUGUCUUGGCCUGGACCAGAUGGACUCCCUGAGGAGAUUUGGCUAAAACAUCUUCUCCUGAACGUCUGAAGCUCCCAUGCUCACAGGCACCCAUCUGUUCCUCUUGUAAAUGCAUCUCAGCCAUUGUGUUUGGAAUGAUCUGGAAUUUUCACUGCAAAUGAAAUAUCCCUGCCCCAUUUCCUCUGACACCCAAUUCCCACUUUCACGAGUGUUUGGUUUGCUGGGCAGACAGACUUCAGAGUGACAGUACUUUGGAUUUUCGUGUCAGAUUGUAGCACCUGAAUCCUGCCAUUCACCCUCCCGUUCUCCAGCCUCCUGAGUCAAGCUUGCUGUAUGAAUAAGGACAAAGACUAAAUGGAAAAUGCAGAAAGGCUUAGAUGGAAAUCCAUUUCUCUUGGAAUGCUAUAUAGUCCCCCUCUAGGGUUUUUUCUCUUUUGGAUAAUUUUGAACCAGUGGAUUCGUUAUAUAUGACUUUUUUUGACUGGCUUAUUUCACUUAGUAUAAAGUUUUCAAGACUGA